rnacentral:sRNA from 1 species
GGGGCAGCUUGCUGCUGGGGCAGGGGGAGGGGGCUGAAAUAGGGAGGACUAGGCCAACUGCCUACUCACUUGUGUCCCCUGCAGGAGCUGGAGGAUCUUCAGAAGAAGCCUCCCCCGUACCUGCGGAACCUGUCCAGCGAUGAUGCCAAUGUCCUUGUGUGGCACGCUCUCCUCCUACCCGACCAACCUCCCUACCACCUCAAAGCCUUCAACCUGCGCAUCAGCUUCCCGCAGGAGUAUCCGUUCAAGCCUCCCAUGAUCAAAUUCACAACCAAGAUCUACCACCCCAACGUGGACGAGAACGGACAGAUUUGCCUGCCCAUCAUCAGCAAUGAGAACUGGAAGCCUUGCACCAAGACUUGCCAAGUCCUGGAGGCCCUCAAUGUGCUGGUGAAUAGACCGAAUAUCAGGGAGCCCCUGCGGAUGGACCUCGCUGACCUGCUGACACAGAAUCCGGAGCUGUUCAGAAAGAAUGCUGAAGAGUUCACCCUCCGAUUCGGAGUGGACCGGCCCUCCUAACUCAUGUUCUGACCCUCUGUGCACUGGAUCCUCGAUAGCGGACGGACACACCUCAUGGACUGAGGCCAGAGCUCCCUAUGGCCC